rnacentral:rRNA from 1 species
GAUGAACGCUGGCGGCGUGCCUAACACAUGCAAGUCGAGCGGAGUCGAUCGACGGAAGCCUUCGGGCGGAAGAUGGUUGACUUAGCGGCGGAUGGGUGAGUAACGCGUGGGCAACCUGCCUCGGAAGACCGGGAUAACAGCCCGAAAGGGCUGCUAAUACCGGAUGUGGUCAAGGAUCCGCAUGGAUUUUGAUUAAAGGGGAAACCCGUUUCGAGAUGGGCCCGCGUCCUAUCAGCUAGUUGGUGAGGUAAAAGCUCACCAAGGCGACGACGGGUAGCCGGCCUGAGAGGGUGACCGGCCACACUGGAACUGAGACACGGUCCAGACUCCUACGGGGGGCAGCAGUGGGGAAUCUUCCACAAUGGGCGAAAGCCUGAUGGAGCGACGCCGCGUGAGCGAAGAAGGCCUUCGGGUUGUAAAGCUCUGUCUGGAGGGACGAAGGAAGUGACGGUACCUCCGGAGGAAGCCACGGCUAACUACGUG